CCAGCUAGACCACUGGGUUGAUAGGCCAGAGGUGGAAGACCGGUAACGGUUGGAGCUGACUGGUACUAAUAGGCCGAGGACUUGUUACA
rnacentral:rRNA from 1 species